UAGUCCAUGCCGUAAACGAUGGAUACUAGUCGUCGGGACACCUAAUUGUUUCGGUGACGUCGCUAACGCGUUAAGCACUCCGCCUGGGGAGUACGGUCGCAAGAUUAAAACUCAAAGGAAUUGACGGGGACCCGCACAAGCGGUGGAGCAUGUGGUUUAAUUCGAGGCAACGCGAAGAACCUUACCAGUCCUUGACAUCCUAAUCGCGGUUUGUAGAGAUACAUUCCUUCAGCUCGGCUGGAUUAGUGACAGGUGCUGCAUGGCUGUCGUCAGCUCGUGUCGUGAGAUGUCGGGUUAAGUCCCGCAACGAGCGCAACCCUCACCCUUUGUUACCAGCGGUUCGGCCGGGAACUCUAAGGGAACUGCCCGUGAUAAACGGGAGGAAGGUGGGGAUGACGUCAAGUCAGCACGGCCCUUACGGACUGGGCCACACACGUGCUACAAUGGUGGCAACAAUGGGCAGCGACCUCGCGAGGGGAAGCUAAUCUCCAAAUGCCAUCUCAGUCCGGAUUGG
rnacentral:rRNA from 1 species